GUUCGACAAAAACCGACAUUCCCUUGAAUAAAGCAUACGAAUGGGGAAAUUCAUGUAACCUGCAAAACAGGCGAACAAAGCAUUUGUAAUCCAGACAGAUGGGUCUGUCACACUAAAUAUUACGAAUUGCUCUAUAACCACCACACCCCAACCACAGGAACCCAGCAUAAGCAAGUUCCUAGACAAAAUGAAUCUACCCAAACUCGCCUCCACCCAACAAGAUGCCCUAUCGGCCCC